AUGGAAUUAAAGAAACAUCACUCCAUGCAAUUCUAGUAAUCGAAAACCAUAAAAGAUGAAAAUGCAUAUAGCUGCCAGCCAAAAUCAAAGGAUUUUAAGAACUGUGAAGCAGAAAUAAAAUUAUGCUCAAGUUCCAAAUUGAUCUCAUGGAAUAGAAAAUGGCCAUCAUUGCCGGUGACUGAAGGUUUCCUCUGAUUAUGUGAACUAGAUUUCCUUUCUAAUCCCCUUGGCCAGAAGCUAUGAAAUCCAGCCGAAUUACAGCUUACCAACCGUACUUUAACCUGGAAACUAGAGGUGAAAGUCAAGUGCUUUAUCUGCUCAGACAAGCAGCUUCUCUCCAGAUCAGGAGUAUUUUAAUGAAAUGAGACUUAAGUGAAUU